rnacentral:rRNA from 2 species
GGCUCAGGACGAACGCUGGCGGCGUGCCUAAUACAUGCAAGUCGAGCGGACAGAUGGGAGCUUGCUCCCUGAAGUCAGCGGCGGACGGGUGAGUAACACGUGGGCAACCUGCCUGUAAGACUGGGAUAACUCCGGGAAACCGGGGCUAAUACCGGAUAAUUCUUUCCCUCACAUGAGGGAAAGCUGAAAGAUGGUUUCGGCUAUCACUUACAGAUGGGCCCGCGGCGCAUUAGCUAGUUGGUGAGGUAACGGCUCACCAAGGCAACGAUGCGUAGCCGACCUGAGAGGGUGAUCGGCCACACUGGGACUGAGACACGGCCCAGACUCCUACGGGAGGCAGCAGUAGGGAAUCUUCCGCAAUGGACGAAAGUCUGACGGAGCAACGCCGCGUGAGUGAUGAAGGUUUUCGGAUCGUAAAACUCUGUUGUUAGGGAAGAACAAGUACCGGAGUAACUGCCGGUACCUUGACGGUACCUAACCAGAAAGCCACGGCUAACUACGUGCCAGCAGCCGCGGUAAUACGUAGGUGGCAAGCGUUGUCCGGAAUUAUUGGGCGUAAAGCGCGCGCAGGCGGUUCCUUAAGUCUGAUGUGAAAGCCCCCGGCUCAACCGGGGAGGGUCAUUGGAAACUGGGGAACUUGAGUGCAGAAGAGAAGAGUGGAAUUCCACGUGUAGCGGUGA